rnacentral:pre_miRNA from 7 species
UAUAAGUGUUUUAUUGUGUGAUGUUCAAAUCAAGUUAAACAUGCCUUGAAAGAACCUAGUGGGGAAACCCCCACUCAAUUUUCGAUUCGGCACGCACCCAAGAAUCACGAACAGACGA